AGGUAGUAAUUUCUAAAACCUAUUUACUCUGGCGGCAUUUUUCUUAUUAGAGGAAUCUGUCCUUUAAUCGAUAACCCACGUUAAUUUUCACUUAUAUUUAAUUUAUAUACCGCCAUAUAUGAAUUAAUUAUAAAAUAUUCCUCUCAAGAAAAAAUAAAAUUUUAGGUCAAGGUAUAAUCUAUAUUUAAGAUUGAGAUGGAUUACUUUAAAUUUGAUUUAAGGAAAAACUACUAAAAAUUAAUUUAGAAAAAGGAUUUAAUAGUAAUAAGAUAAUAAUAUUUUCUUAUGAAAUCACAAAAAAUGUGU
rnacentral:rRNA from 1 species